CAGAGUUAUCUAACUCCCAAACCCAUGUGAACUUACCUUUUGUUGCCUCGGCAGUGCCUACCCUGUAGCGAGUUACCCUGUAACGACCUACCCUGUAGCGCCUCCUGCCGAUGGACCAUUAAACUCUUGUUAUUUUUAAGUAAUCUGAGCGUCUUAUUUUAAUAAGUCA
rnacentral:misc_RNA from 1 species